AUCAUUCACAAUGGACGAAAGUCUGAUGGUGCAACGCCGCGUGGAGGAUGAAGGCCCUAGGGUCGUAAACUCCUGUCAUAUGAGAGUAAGGCAUAUGUGUUAAUAGCAUGUAUGUUUGAUAGUAUCAUAAGAGGAAGGGACGGCUAACUUCGUGCCAGCAGCCGCGGUAAUACGAAGGUCCCGAGCGUUGUUCGGAAUCACUGGGCGUAAAGGGAGCGUAGGCGGCAUGGUAAGUCAGAUGUGAAAUCCCGGGGCUCAACCCCGGAACUGCAUCCGAUACUGCCUUGCUAGAGUAAUGGAGGGGUAACUGGAAUUCUCGGUGUAGCAGUGAAAUGCGUAGAUAUCGAGAGGAAGACCAACGGCGAAGGCAGGUUACUGGACAUUUACUGACGCUGAGGCUCGAAGGCCAGGGGAGCGAAAGGGAUUAGAUACCCCUGUAGUCCUGGCAGUAAACGGUGUGCGCUUGGUGUAGGUGGGUUCGACCCCAUCUGUGCCGGAGCUAACGCGUUAAGCGCACCGCCUGGGGAGUACGGUCGCAAGACUAAAACUCAAAGAAAUUGACGGGGACCCGCACAAGCGGUGGAGUAUGUGGCUUAAUUCGAUGCAACGCGAAGAACCUUACCUGGGCUUGACAUGCAUUGCUAAUUCGGUGAAAGCCGAUGAGUCUUCGGACGCCUUGCACAGGUGCUGCAUGGCCGUCGUCAGCUCGUGUCGUGAGAUGUUCGGUUAAGUCCGGCAACGAGCGCAACCCCUGUGGUUAGUUACUAACAUUAAGUUGAGGACUCUAGCCAGACUGCCCAGAUCAACUGGGAGGAAGGUGGGGAUGACGUCAGGUCAGUAUGGCCCUUACGCCCAGGGCUGCACACGUACUACAAUGCCCAGUACAAUGAGAACCGAGACCGCGAGGUGGAGGAAAUCUACAAAACUGGGCUCAGUUCGGAUUGGAGGCUGCAACUCGCCUCCAUGAAGUUGGAAUCGCUAGUAAUGGCACAUCAGCUACGGUGCCGUGAAUACGUUCCCGGGUCUUGUACACACCGCCCGUCACAUCAUGGAAGCCGAUCGCACCCGAAGUGCCUG
rnacentral:rRNA from 1 species